AUGACUGUGCUAAUAAUCCUUGUUGGAAUGGAGGAAUCUGCAUAGACAGAGUUAACAGUUUUUCCUGCCAAUGUCAGAAGGGGUGGCAUGGCAACAACUGUAGCCAAGAUGUGAAUGAAUGUUCUCUGGGUUCCAGUAAUUGUGAUCCUAAUGCUGUAUGCAUCAAUACUUUGGGCUCAUACACUUGUAGCUGUACAGAAGGAUAUAAGGGAAAUGGCUUUAACUGCAAAGAAAUACGCCUGUUCCCUUAUGGCCCUGCAACCAAAGAUGAAAAAGCAACUAAAAAUUCUAAAGACUUCUUUUCUCCAUUAAUCAGUAUUUCUAUAGGAUUCCCAUUUGAGUCUGCAUUCUACAAUAAG